rnacentral:rRNA from 1 species
AACUGCUUUUGAAGGGGAAUAAAUAAGGGCACGCGUGCCCUGUUGCAUGUACCCUUGGAAUAAGGACCGGCUAAUUCCGUGCCAGCAGCCGCGGUAAUACGGAAGGUCCUGGUGUUAUCCGGAUUUAUUGGGUUUAAAGGGAGCGUAGGCCGCAUAUUAAGUGUGUUGUGAAAAGCAGUCGCCCAACGUCUGUCUUGCAGCGCAAACUGGUGUGCUUGAGUACGCACAACGCAGGCGGAAUUCGUCGUGUAGCGGUGAAAUGCUUAGAUAUGACGAAGAACCCCGAUUGCGAAGGCAGCGUGCGGGAGCGUUACUGACGCUGAAGCUCGAAAGUGCGGGUAUCGAACAGGAUUAGAUACCCUGGUAGUCC